rnacentral:lncRNA from 1 species
GGGUUGUGGUUUUUCAUACCAGGGAAUGAGAUUAAAAGUCACUGAAGGGUGAGGAAAUGCACAACUGAGAAUAUGGAGAAUGGCCUGAAUUUUCUCCAGAGGACUCGGUGUAAUGUGCCUUUCCCCUCCAGAUGCCUAGAACCAUUGCACUGUGUCUUAUUUAUUUCAGUGCUGGUCCAUCACAUGUUAGACUCGCAAAGGUAUUUGCCUAUGACUUGAACAACACUUCCAAGAAUUGAAGACUGAUUCACGAGGGUGCCUCUUGCUCCCUGCAAUGGAGUUUAACCUUUUGGGCUCCAACCUAGUUUUAGACAUGGGGACCAGAUUACAGUAUCUCAAUGCUCAAAAAGAUGAGCAAAUUCUUGGUAAAUGUGCUGAGUUCUAGCUUGGUGAAUAACUGAUGUCAACUGCUGGGAAUAAAGGUCUUAAAGAUG